GCUGCUGUCCGACCUGACGCAGGCGGAGAUGGACGCAGAUAAGGCGAAGGCAAUCAUCUCGAAAAUGAAGACACUGCGAGGGAACUUAACUGCCCUGACGAAGAACGACCUGCUGCGACUAGACUGGGCCUACAAAGGGCUGAUGGCGAGCGAGGUCGACCAGCUGCCUGUCCUCUCUGACGCCUUAGUCGUCUCAAUCUCGCGGAUGUUUAGGACAUGGCGGAAGACACGCUGAAAGCCGCGGCGGCCAAAGUGAUCAAAGAUUUUAAGGCUCCAGCUGAAAUGAACGGAGAAGAGGUGGCCAAGGUGAACCAGCUGGUGUGUGGAUUCACGAAAGCUCAAGCCGAAAGCAUAACGACAGAUGC